rnacentral:rRNA from 1 species
GCAUAACGCGAAGAACCUUACCAGGGCUUGACAUGCCCCUGACCGUCCCAGAGAUGGGAUUUCACCUUCGGGUGCAGGGGACACAGGUGGUGCAUGGUUGUCGUCAGCUCGUGUCGUGAGAUGUUGGGUUAAGUCCCGCAACGAGCGCAACCCUUGCCUUUAGUUGCUACCAUUAAGUUGAGAACUCUAGAGGGACUGCCGAUGAUAAAUCGGAGGAAGGUGGGGAUGACGUCAAAUCAUCAUGCCCUUUAUGUCCUGGGCUACACACGUGCUACAAUGGUCGGUACAACGAGCAGCUACCUAGCGACAGGAUGCAAAUCUCUAAAAGCCGAUCCCAGUUCGGAUUGCAGGCUGCAACUCGCCUGCAUGAAGUCGGAGUUGCUAGUAAUCGCGAAUCAGAAUGUCGCGGUGAAUGCGUUCCCGGGUCUUGUACACACCG